rnacentral:rRNA from 1 species
GGACUACCAGGGUAUCUAAUCCUGUUUGCUCCCCUAGCUUUCGUGCCUCAGUGUCAGGAGUCGUCCAGGGACUCGCCUUCGCCACUGGUGUUCCUCUCGAUAUCUACGCAUUUCACUGCUACACCGAGAAUUCCAGUCCCCCCUCCGACCCUCCAGCCGGAUAGUAUCCAACGCAGUUUCGGAGUUGAGCUCCGAGAUUUCACGUCAGACUUACCCGACCACCUACGCACCCUUUACGCCCAGUGAAUCCGAACAACGCUUGGGACCUCUGUAUUACCGCGGCUGCUGGCAC